AUUGCUGACUGUCAAUAUACACUGGCGUCAUAAACAUUUUAAAGACCUGUCUUAUUGAGACUGACAUUAGAACUAUAGGUUUUAAAAAAAUUAUUAUUGAUUUUUUUUUUUGCUCUGUUUAGGGCUGUGGGCAGGUGAUGGUAUAGACUUUCAGAACCCUUCCUGCUGAUUAUUGUGAUUCAUUAAAACAAGUCUAGGAUGACUCUAGUCCCCUCCACUAGUGUGGUUUUUAAAUAAGAAUCGCUUCUUGCCUCCUUUUGGUUAAGUCUUACUUAGCAUGAAGCUCCGUUGAGUUUAGACGGUGUUGAUUCAUUGUCUAGGCCACGAGAGCUGCUCCUUCCUCACAUCAAAAGUUGGGAGAGAAACUCAAUUUUAGGUCCCCAUUACAUCAGCCCAUCAACCCUGUUAUUUUCACAGAGUCAGUGGACAUGCAAUUACAUUGUUUACUUGUAAAGUAGCGAAAGUGUCUUCCUCACAGAGAGUGACAGCUUGGUCUAUAAGAUAGACAGACAAGAAGGCAGGGCCUUUUCCUCUCUAACAUUAAUAUUUCCUUUCAAGAUAACUCAUGUGUGUAUACAUGUAUGUCUGUACAUAGACAUAUAUGUGUAUACAUAUAUUCAUAUAUAUGUAUAUCCUGCAUGAGUUAUCUUAUAUACAUAUAUAUAUAUAUAUGUAUACACACAUGAAUAGAGACACAUACACUCUGACACUCUCUACAAAGUAAUCCAAGAUCACCGUCAGUACUGAGUGUGCAUGGCCUGGAGUCUGUAACCAGUAUUGGAGAGCCACAGAGACAGAGUAUGAAAUCCCUUCCUUGUUGACAUAGGUCAACCUGGCUUGCAGUUGGUGUCAGUUUGCAUGCCAGCACGGGGUGCAAGGCUUACCUUAAAUACAAUCAGAAUGAGAACUCCUCUCUUACUCAUACUGCCUCCCUCUGUCCCCAAAUUCCAUGAAUGGACCCUGUGUUGAGCAUAGUGACAUGUGACGUCCUAUACAAAUAGCAUUUGAACUGAGGAGACUGGGUGGCCUCACAGGUCGUGCUGAUGUUCGGGAAGCUCGCCGCUGGGCAGAGCUGGCUUAGUGUUUCCAUCUUGCGUGACAGCAUCAGGACAUCCAGAAGGAAGCAUGACCUGUGUUAGUCAUCUCUGGGCCACCCGGACUACAACCCCUGUUUUGAGCUACUGGUAUUUAAUGAUUAUCUAAGAAAGAAUGCAUGCUCACUAGUAAACUUCAUUAAAAGUGUAAAAGGGCUAAGAAAACAGCACAUACCAAGAUUACUUAAAUGUGCAUUCAGAUGAAUGCAAUAUUUGGUCAAGAUCUAAAUAAGAAACUCAUAAACACUCGCGUCACUGAGAAUGCUCUCUGGGAGUUUUGGCUCUCCAUGCUAUCCCUGGAACAGGUCCAGGUAAUAGAUUUGUGUGUCUGUACAAUUUUAAAGCUACUCUCUAUGGCCUUUGAAUUGCAGAACAGAUAUGGCCAACACGUCUGUGCUUUUCACCCAUGCAGACUACACUUCCCCCUCAGGUGCCAGCAGGACCCUGAAGACACUUUAACUUGUUAUGACCAAGAGUGUUGGCCACUUGCAGCAGGGGGUAGCUAUGGAUGGUGGUUCAGUAGUCACAGGUCAGCCACUUGCCACAGAGAAUGACUCAGUGAAGUGUUAGUUGUGUGAAGGUUGACGAACCCUGAGUUAGGCCAAAAGGAAAGUCUGACUGCUCCUGCUGUGUUGUUGAACAGCAUUGCUGUGGCCUUUCACUAUUUUACAGUGGCAAUUCACUGGUGUGUCAUAUGUAACUGUAUGUGUGUCUGGUUAGAUGAUGUAGCUAAGCAAGAGGUAGGGGUGUGUGUGUGUGUGUGUGUGUGUGUGUGUGUGAGUGUGUAUGUGUGAGUGUGUGUGUGGGAGGUCUGUUUAGCAUUAAUUUUAGUAAAAUAUGUGUUCCUAAGUAGAAACCUCUCUCCAAAACCAUCCUUUAGAACACACUAGGGUACCAUAUUACUCUUAAGAGACUGGGUAUUAUUCAAUUCUGCUUAUUGAAAUUCUGGUCCAUUAUUUAAUGGAUUUGACUAAGUUUCAGCUCAGAUGGGAUUUGGGUUAUGAUAGAAAUAUUUAAUAGAAACCAUUUAAUGAAUUUCAUUGCUUCUGUCAAGAGACGAGAUCCCUCCCUACCACUAAUUAGGUCAAUGCUGUGUGUGUGUGUGUGUGUGUGUGUGUGUGUGUGUGUUUGUACAUAUGUGCGUGUGAGGGAGACAGACAAAAUUAAGAUUGCUUCAUGGAGGAAGAAGAGAGGGCGCAGAGGCUGCGAAUGAAUGCUCAAACAGGAAUUCACAUAUUGAGUCAACUGCAACGUGAGAAUUUGUUGGUUCCCAGGCUCCUGAGUGAGGGUGGCUGCUGUUUGACUUUAAUCACACUUCAGUCAAAUUAACUCAGGUGAGGAGCAAGUCAUCCCACUAGAAAGCUUUCAUGAAAGAGCUUUUCUCAGAAGAUGACUCUUAGAAGCACGCGCUCUCUGUAAAGUGCUUUGCCAAAAGUAUAUAAAAAUAAUUGUGUGCCUAAACCACAUUGUUCCUGUUUAUGACUCUGACAAGGGGUGGGGGGAGCAGAGACUCUCAGUCCUCGAGCGCUGAGUGCCGUUGCAGAGGUCCUGAGUUCAGGUUCUGAUGCACACUUACCCACACACAGCAGCUGCCUUUUAUUCCAGUUCCAGGGCAUCUGGUGUCCUCUUCUUAUCUCCAUGGACACGGAGUGCAAGCGGCAACAUAUACACAAUAAAUAAAUAAAUCUUAAUAAAGGUAGAGAAUUAAUUAUCUAAAAUGGCAGAUGUUCAGGUAAUGAAUAUCCUUUGUGCUUCUUUGCUGGGAAGCCAGAUAUCUAUAGUUUUAUUUAUUUUUUUUAAUGUUUAAAAAUACCAAGUUUGUGGAAUUUUCCACUGGCAAAUCCUUGUGAGGAAGGAUCUAAUGAGAAAAUCAGUCACAAGUCCACUGAAUGGUUUUUUACCUUAUGAAGUACACUGCUGUGUUAUAGGUGCUUCCCCACCAGAACCAGGUAAGAUCAAAAGUCCAGAGAUCACGGGAAAGGGCAAGUCUGGAGGAACAAAGCCUGAGGAUGCUGUUGUGUGUCUUUCCCACCCAGAGUGGUCAGAAGUCCGCCCUCGGAUACUGUGUGAACUCCAGGCAGCCCGUAUCAGGGGAGGAAGCAAGUUAACAAUGUUACAGCACCUGCAUCCCAGGUUGCUGGGUCUUGUGAGGUCAGCGGUAAAUGCCCUUAGAACUUUUGGAAACUUAAUUCUGUUGUGUGCUCAGGAGAGGAAGAGGCAAGGUAAAAACAGAGGUGACCAUAGUACCCAAGCUCUCAGCAUCCAAGGGGUCAGAAGGCUCUAUUCCUUUGUUCUUGCCAGCCCAUGACCACCUAUCCUUAUCCAACAUGGGAGCUGGCUUUCGUGGAGAGUUGAGCUCACAGCCUCCACUACCGCCUAUCUCUGUUCUCUGUCCUAUCACAGUAGUGGGAUUCCACUGAGGGACGAGUUAGCAGCCUUGUGACUACAGGGGUUUCAGCACGAAAAGAAUGCUGAGAAUUUAAAAUUUUGAAUCACCAAACAUAUUGUGCUUUGAUUUUGCCUAAGCUUGCACUUGCUAAUUUGUGUGCCCUGCGGCAGAGUCUGGUCACCUUGACACAGUUGUGGCCCUGCAUGUGAUCAUGAGGAACAGAGUUCUUUUCUCUGUGUACAUGGAUGGACUUUCUGAGUCCCUGAAUCUAUGGAGAAAAUACCCUGUAGUUUCUGUGCUGUGUCUUUGAAAGCGUGGAGUUCUGAAGUCCAGAAUAUGUCUACAAAUUCCUAAAUGUGAGGCCACAGAUUUAGUCUAAGCCCUAUAUAACUCCUGUCGUGUAAGUGGGAGAGUCUUAUAUCUGUAGACAUCACACACACACACACAGACACAGAGAGACACACACAAAGACGCAGACACACAC
ensembl:lncRNA